rnacentral:rRNA from 1 species
AUUGAACGCUGGCGGCAUGCCUUACACAUGCAAGUCGAACGGCAUCACGGGAGCAAUCCUGGUGGCGAGUGGCGAACGGGUGAGUAAAGUAUCGGAACGUGCCCAGUCGUGGGGGAUAACGUAGCGAAAGUUACGCUAAUACCGCAUACGAUCUAUGGAUGAAAGCGGGGGAUCGCAAGACCUCGCGCGAUUGGAGCGGCCGAUAUCAGAUUAGGUAGUUGGUGGGGUAAAGGCUCACCAAGCCGACGAUCAGUAGCUGGUCUGAGAGGACGACCGACCACGAUGGGACCGAAACAUGGCCCAGACUCCGACGGGAGGCAGCAAUGGGGAAUUGUGGAGAAUGGGCGAAAGCCUGAUCCAGCCAUGCCGCGUGCAGGAGGAAGACCUUAGGGUUGUAAACUGCUUUUGUACGGAACUAAAAGGUUUGGCCUAAUAAGCUGAGCUCAUGACGGUACCGUAAGAGCAAGCACCGGCUAACUACGUGCCAGCCGCCGCCGUAA